CCUACGUGGGGCAGCAGUGGGGGAUAUUGCACAAUGGGGGGAACCCUGAUGCAGCGACGCCGCGUGGGUGAAGAAGCGCCUCGGCGCGUAAAGCCCUGUCAGCAGGGAAGAAAAUGACGGUACCUGAAGAAGAAGCCCCGGCUAACUACGUGCCAGCAGCCGCGGUAAUACGUGGGGGGCAAGCGUUAUCCGGAUUUACUGGGUGUAAAGGGGGCGCAGACGGCGAUGCAAGCCAGGAGUGAACGCCCGGGGCCCAACCCCGGGACUGCCCUUGGAACUGCAUGGCUGGAGUGCGGGAGGGGCAGGCGGAAUUCCUGGUGUAGCGGUGAAAUGCGUAGAUAUCAGGAGGAACACCGGCGGCGAAGGCGGCCUGCUGGACCGCGACUGACGUUGAGGCUCGAAAGCGUGGGGAGCGAACAGGAUUAGAUACCCGGGUAGUC
rnacentral:rRNA from 1 species